UCUAUAAUAUAUGUAUGUAUUUACACUCGUCCAUACUCCCUAUAUAAAUUCAUGGGUCUAUAUAAGGCUACUACGCUCGCGUCCAACGCUCACGUCACGCCUUAAUGCGGUGCUACACUACGCCAUUAAGGUGGACAGACGGGUGUAUAAAUAUGUGUCCAUACCCCCUAUGUGAAUUAAACACUCAUAUAGGGCUACUACGCUCACGUCCAACGCUCACGUCACAUCAUAAUGCGGCUAUAUGCUACGCCAUUAAGGUGGACAGACACAUAUGGCUAGCUAACAUUUUAUAUACAUACUCUCUCAUAAAUACAUAUUUAUAUCCACCGAAAAUCUGAUUUUCGGUAACUCUCCAAGAGAAAUAAAAUUCGUUAAAUUAAAUUAUUGUCAAAAUAUUCCGCAACAAUUAUUGUUCAACCAUGAACUCUAGCAUGCAUUUUAUUUAAAACAAAAGUCCACUCACAAAUUAGGCCUAAGCCUGAUGUCGAUCUGGGGCCUCGUCUGCUCGAGCCUCCUCACGUCCUGUUCCAAAUAUAAUAUUAAUUUCCCAACUAACAAUCCAAUAUUUAAUCAAAAUAGGCAAAAUUACCCGAGAGCCAUAAACACGCUCAUCAUUGCCUAACUUCGAUAUUCUUAAAUCGGAACGAUCCAAACUUAAAUAUCAUCCUCGACAGUCGUAAAUACAACCUCCCUAAAAAUACGACUUAAAUCUUACGGCCGGAUUCUACAUUAAUUAACCGCCAAAAAUACCAAACUUCGGAAAUUCACAAACCUAUCCAAAUCUCAUCCAAAAAUUCCAUAAAUCACAUCAAUAUAAUCCCCUUAAUAUUCCACAUUUAAAACCCUAAAAAUCUCCCAAACCGGCGCCGGCUCCGCCGGCAGCGGCGGCCGGAGGCCAAUUCCGGCGACCUCCAAAACCUAUGAAAUUUUGACAGCAUCUUCCUCUCAUCAUGCUCUACCACUUUCCUAACUAGCACAAACACCAAUUCCAAGCCUAACUAGGGUAAUCGACUAAAAACAUAAAAAACGCUAUAGAAUUUCAACUUCACAUUUCUCCUUACCUAGCUCAAGAGAGGGUGAGCUGUUUGGAGGGGUUGCUGCACGGGAGGAGGGCUACAAAACGAGCCAAGGAUCGCCGGUUUUGGUGGCCGGAGGAGGGAGUUCCGGCGACGUGAAACCUAACACAGUCGGACCUCUCGGGCCCGAUAUCUUCCUCACGGCGGCGCUAGGGGAGCUGUCACCGGUCCAAGAAGGUUGCUGGGUUGAUGGCCGACCGAACGGGACCGGUGUGACGGCGGUUGGUGGCCGGACGACGGCUGGCCGGCGACGGAAAGAUCGACUGCGGGAAGGAGUUCGGGUGCGGGAAAACCGGGAGGGAGAGAGAGAGAAAAGAGGGCUGGGCUUGACCACCCCUUGGCCCGGUCCAACCUUCUUAGAUCACCCAAAUCCAAAAUAAAACACCCCGAAAAAUAAUAGCCGAAUAAAAAUUACCUUUUACUAGCUAAAAUUUACCAUUUUUACCGUCGUCAUAUUUUCUCCCACGAAUAAUUCCCCGAAAUUAAUCAUCCCUUAAAAUACCUCUAGGGACCAAUUAAACUAUUAACUCAAUGACGGGGACGGUAAAAUUCUUAUUAUAAUUAAGCUAGUAAAUAAGGUAAAAAUAUAAGGGUCGGGAUAUGACAAAAACUUUGGUGUUUUGCAUAUGCAGGAUGACAGGAAGGCAACUUGUUACCAGUCCAGAGUCUGAGGAAAGCUCACCAUCAACAUCUGUCAACACAAACAUGAAAUUGCUCUCAUACCUACAACGGGAAAAAUUGAAGGUUCCACAA
rnacentral:lncRNA from 1 species